rnacentral:rRNA from 1 species
CAGUCGAACGGAGCUUAGAGAGCUUGCUUUUUAAGCUUAGUGGCGAACGGGUGAGUAACGCGUGAGUAACCUGCCCUGGAGUGGGGGACAACAGUUGGAAACGACUGCUAAUACCGCAUAAGCCCACGGCACCGCAUGGUACUGAGGGAAAAGGAUUUAUUCGCUUUAGGAUGGACUCGCGUCCAAUUAGCUAGUUGGUGAGGUAACGGCCCACCAAGGCGACGAUUGGUAGCCGGACUGAGAGGUUGAACGGCCACAUUGGGACUGAGACACGGCCCAGACUCCUACGGGAGGCAGCAGUGGGGGAUAUUGCACAAUGGGGGAAACCCUGAUGCAGCGACGCCGCGUGGAGGAAGAAGGUUUUCGGAUUGUAAACUCCUGUCGUUAGGGACGAUAAUGACGGUACCUAACAAGAAAGCACCGGCUAACUACGUGCCAGCAGCCGCGGUAAAACGUAGGGUGCAAGCGUUGUCCGGAAUUACUGGGUGUAAAGGGAGCGCAGGCGGGAAGACAAGUUGGAAGUGAAAACCAUGGGCUCAACCCAUGAAUUGCUUUCAAAACUGUUUUUCUUGAGUAGUGCAGAGGUAGAUGGAAUUCCCGGUGUAGCGGUGGAAUGCGUAGAUAUCGGGAGGAACACCAGUGGCGAAGGCGGUCUACUGGGCACCAACUGACGCUGAGGCUCGAAAGCAUGGGUAGCAAACAGGAUUAGAUACCCUGGUAGUCCAUG